GGACGAACGCUGGCGGCGUGCUUAACACAUGCAAGUCGAGCGGAAAGGCCCUUCGGGGUACUCGAGCGGCGAACGGGUGAGUAACACGUGAGUAACCUGCCCCAGACUUUGGGAUAACCCUCGGAAACGGGGGCUAAUACCGGAUACGACUUGCUCUCGCAUGGGAUGCAAGUGGAAAGUUUUUCGGUUUGGGAUGGGCUCGCGGCCUAUCAGCUUGUUGGUGGGGUGAUGGCCUACCAAGGCGACGACGGGUAGCCGGCCUGAGAGGGCGACCGGCCACACUGGGACUGAGACACGGCCCAGACUCCUACGGGAGGCAGCAGUGGGGAAUAUUGCACAAUGGGCGGAAGCCUGAUGCAGCGACGCCGCGUGAGGGAUGACGGCCUUCGGGUUGUAAACCUCUUUCAGCAGGGACGAAGCGCAAGUGACGGUACCUGCAGAAGAAGCGCCGGCCAACUACGUGCCAGCAGCCGCGGUAAGACGUAGGGCGCGAGCGUUGUCCGGAUUUAUUGGGCGUAAAGAGUUCGUAGGCGGCUUGUCGCGUCGACCGUGAAAACUUGGGGCUCAACCCCAAGCCUGCGGUCGAUACGGGCAGGCUCGAGUUCGGUAGGGGAGACUGGAAUUCCUGGUGUAGCGGUGAAAUGCGCAGAUAUCAGGAGGAACACCGGUGGCGAAGGCGGGUCUCUGGGCCGAUACUGACGCUGAGGAGCGAAAGCGUGGGGAGCGAACAGGAUUAGAUACCCUGGUAGUCCACGCUGUAAACGUUGGGCGCUAGGUGUGGGGGACCUCUCCGGUUCUCUGUGCCGCAGCUAACG
rnacentral:rRNA from 1 species